rnacentral:lncRNA from 1 species
ACAUCCUUAUCACUCAGGAAAUUCCAGGAAUUUUUGAAGCUCUGUGCCAGGAACCAAGGACUAAGACCAAAUAUAUUUUUAUUUUUAUUUAUUAUUUAUUUAUUUAUUUAUUUUUUGAGAUGGAGUUUCGCUCUUGUUGCCCAGGCUGGAGUGCAAUGGUGAGAUCUCUGCUCACUGCAACCUCCACCUCCCAGGUUCAAGGGAUUCUUGUGCCUCAGCCUCCUGAGUAGCUGAGAUUACAGGCACCCACCACCACGUCCGGCUAAGUUGUUGUUUUUUGUUUUUGUUCUUGUUUUUUUGAGAGAUGGAGUCUUGAUCUGUCACCCAGGCUGGAGUGGAGUGGCGGUAUCUCGGCUCACUGCAACCUCCACCUCCCGGGUUUGAGCGAUUCUCCUGCCUCAGCUUCCCAAGUAGCUGGGACCACAGACGUUUGCCACCACUCCCAGUUAAUUUUUGUAUUUUUUUAGUAGAGUUGGGGUUUCACUAUAUGUUGGCCAGCCUGGUCUCAAACUCCUGACCUCAGGUGAUCUGCCCACCUCGGCCUCCCAAAGUGUUGGGAUUAUAGGCGUGAGCCACCGUGCCUGGCCAAUUUUUUGUAUUUUUUUGUAGAGACGGGGUUUCACCAUGUUGGCCAGGCUGGUCUUGAAUUCCUGGCCUCAGGUUAUCCGCCUGCCUGAGCCUCCCAAAGUGCUGGAUUACAGGCAUGACCCACCAAACCCAGCCCAAAUAUAUUUGCAUAUAUAUAUAUUUUAAUAUCCCACGCCUACACUCUGGGAUAACUCAGCUCUUACAGGCAGUAAUCAUGGGUCAGACCUGCCAUUAUCCAGUUCAGCCCAUUUCAUUUGACAGACACCUGGUGAAUAGAGACAUGCAGGGACUCUUGUCCACAUUUGCCCAGUUGGCUGAUAGCACAGUGUACAAAGUCUGUCUGCAGCAGGUCAUAAUUUCACAGCUCUGCCACAUGCAUGUAUAUCACUGUACCAAGCGUGUUCACAUGGUAUGGUGCUGACACAUGUUGACGGAAUGUGGUACAGACCCUCUGUGUGAAGUGUGUUCACACAGUGCGGUGCUGACCCUCUGUAUGAAGCGUGUUCACACGGUGCGGUGCUGACCCUCUGUAUGAAGCAUGUUCACGUAGUGCAGUGCUGACUCUGUAUGAAGUGUGUUCACACAAUGAGGUGCUGACCUCAUGUAUGAAGCAUGUUCACACAAUGCGGUGCUGACCCUCUGUAUGAAGCGUGUUCACACGGUGCGGUGCUGACUCUCUGUAUGACACAUGUUCACACAAUGCGGUGCUGACCUUCUGUAUGAAGCGUGUUCACACAGUGCAGUGCUGACCUUCUGUAUGACACAUGUUCACAGAGUGAGGUGCUGAUCUUCUGUAUGAAGCAUGUUCACAUGGUGCAGUACUGACUCUCUGUUUGAAGUGUGUUCACACAGUGAGGUGCUGAUCUUCUGUAUGAAGCAUGUUCACACGGUGCAGUACUGACUCUCUGUAUGAAGUGUGUUCACACGGUGCGGUGCUGACUCUCUGUAUGAAGCGUGUUCACACAGUGCGGUGCUGACUCUCUGUAUGAAGCAUGUUCACACGGUGCGGUGCUGACUCUCUGUAUGAAGUGUGUUCACCUGGUGCAGUACAGGCUCUCUGCAUGAAGCAUGUUCACACAGUGCGGUGCUGACCCUCUGUAUGAAGCGUGUUCACACAGUGCAUGUGAAACCAGAACCGACAGUCGAACCCAAGCAGAAGUCUUGACCAAGCACUUCCCUCCUGGGAAUGCACCAUGAUAUCACCACACCGAAGUCCAGGCUGGCAAACAGGGAUGUACACGCAGGGGAGACGAGAACUUCUCCCGUGAGAAACAGCACAGUCCAGCCAUAUGAA